AUUGAACGCUGGCGGCAGGCCUAACACAUGCAAGUCGAACGAGUGGCGGACGGGUGAGUAAUGUCUGGGAAACUGCCUGAUGGAGGGGGAUAACUACUGGAAACGGUAGCUAAUACCGCAUACCAUCAGAUGUGCCCAGAUGGGAUUAGCUAUUUUGUGGGGUAACGGCUCACCAAGGCGACGAUCCCUAGCUGGUCUGAGAGGAUGACCAGCCACACUGGAACUGAGACACGGUCCAGACGCAUACGGGAGGCAGCAGUGGGGAAUAUUGCACAAUGGGCGCAAGCCUGAUGCAGCAAUGCCGCGUGUAUGAAGAAGGCCUUCUGGUUGUAAAGUACUUUCAGCGGGGAGGCGGGAACCGAAGAAGAAGCACCGGCUAACUCCGUGCCAGCCGCCGCGGUAAUUG
rnacentral:rRNA from 1 species